rnacentral:rRNA from 1 species
AACGAACGCUGGCGGCAGGCUUAACACAUGCAAGUCGAACGCAUCCUUCGGGGUUAGUGGCAGACGGGUGAGUAACGCGUAGGAACGUGCCCUUCAGUUCGGGAUAACCCAGGGAAACUUGGGCUAAUACCGGAUAAGUGCGAGAGCAGAAAGAUUUAUCGCUGAAGGAUCGGCCCGCGUCUGAUUAGCUAGUUGGUGGGGUAAUGGCCCACCAAGGCGACGAUCAGGAGCUGGUCUGAGAGGAUGAUCAGCCACAUUGGGACUGAGACACGGCCCAAACUCCUACGGGAGGCAGCAGUGGGGAAUAUUGGACAAUGGGCGCAAGCCUGAUCCAGCCAUGCCGCGUGAGUGAUGAAGGCCUUAGGGUUGUAAAGCUCUUUCGUCCGGGACGAUAAUGACGGUACCGGAAGAAGAAGCCCCGGCUAACUUCGUGCCAGCCGCCGCCGUAA